rnacentral:rRNA from 1 species
UACGGAGGGGGCUAGCGUUGUUCGGAAUUACUGGGCGUAAAGCGCACGUAGGCGGAUCAGAAAGUCAGAGGUGAAAUCCAAGGGCUCAACCUUGGAACUGCCUUUGAAACUCCUGGUCUUGAGGUCGAGAGAGGUGAGUGGAAUUCCGAGGGUAGAGGUGAAAUUCGUAGAUAUUCGGAGGAACCCCAGUGGCGAAGGCGGCUCACUGGCUCGAUACAGACGCUGAGGGGCGAAAGCGUGGGGAGCAAACACG